UUUGAGCACCAUGGGAAACCUCAUCCAGCCUAGACACAGACAGGACUGACAGAUUGAGAGCUCUUUCUCAGUUCCAUAGGUGGUGAUGUCCAGCCAUUCUUGGUGGAGCGGUUUGUCUGGAUAAUUGCAAUAACAAACAAGACUCUGGCAUGCUAACUAGUUAUGCGACCUCUCAGUGGUUGACAUCCAACUUCUUCAAGGGACAAGUGGCCUUCAGCAACUAGAUCGAGUAACAACAGGUCUGUGAUGCCCUUUACUGUGA
rnacentral:ncRNA from 1 species